GUAGGUGAACCUGCGGAAGGAUCAUUACUGAAGUCGCUGAGAGGUUGUUUUUGUUUGCUGGCUCUCUGGAGCAUUGUGCACGCCUUUCACACUUUAUCAACCACUUGUGCACCGUUUGUAGUCUUUUUUCAGACAGAUUUGCUUUCCCUUGCGGCUUUCUCUUGAAAAGUUGCAUGCGAAGGGGGGAGAUGUUUGCUGCUUGCCGUGGCUCUAGUCUGAUUGUCUGAGAGGGACUAUUCUUUUACUUACACAUAUACACUGUUUAAAAAUGUACACGAAUGCUCGUCAUGGUCUAUUCUGGACCCUUAACAUGAUAAAUACAACUUUCAACAACGGAUCUCUUGGCUCUCGCAUCGAUGAAGAACGCAGCGAAAUGCGAUAAGUAAUGUGAAUUGCAGAUUUCAGUGAAUCAUCGAAUCUUUGAACGCACCUUGCGCUCCUUGGUAUUCCGAGGAGCAUGCCUGCUUGAGUGUCAUUAAAUUCCUCAACUCUUGCAAUGUGAUUUAUUGUAUUGUCUGAGCUUGGAUAUGAGGGUUUCCUGCUGGUUCUUCGAGUUCCCAGCUCCCUUGAAAUGUAUUAGCGCAGUUACAGCUCUUGCCAGUCCUGCUUCAGGUGUGAUAAUUAUCUACGCCUUUAGCCAAGUUUGCAACUGUUAAGAGCGUUCACUUGUGCUUCUAAACUUUAUAUGUAUAAUAAUAAUAUAUAUACACAUAUAUACUUUGACACUUGACCUCAAAUCAGGUAGGACUACCCGCUGAACUU
rnacentral:rRNA from 1 species